UACGGAGGGUGCGAGCGUUAAUCGGAAUUACUGGGCGUAAAGCGCACGCAGGCGGUUUGUUAAGCAAGAUGUGAAAGCCCCGGGCUCAACCUGGGAACUGCAUUUUGAACUGGCAGACUAGAGUCUUGGAGAGGGGGGGUGGAAUUCCAGGUGUAGCGGUGAAAUGCGUAGAGAUCUGGAGGAACAUCAGUGGCGAAAGCGGCCCCCCUGGCCAAAAGACUGACGCUCAUGUGCGAAAAGUGUGGGUAGCGAACAGGAUUAGACUACCCCAGUC
rnacentral:rRNA from 1 species